CAGCAGCCACGGUAAUACGAAGGGGGCUAGCGUUGUUCGGAAUUACUGGGCGUAAAGCGCACGUAGGCGGAUAUUUAAGUCAGGGGUGAAAUCCCAGAGCUCAACUCUGGAACUGCCUUUGAUACUGGGUAUCUUGAGUAUGGAAGAGGUGAGUGGAAUUCCGAGUGUAGAGGUGAAAUUCGUAGAUAUUCGGAGGAACACCAGUGGCGAAGGCGGCUCACUGGUCCAUUACUGACGCUGAGGUGCGAAAGCGUGGGGAGCAAACAGGAUUAGAUACCCCGGUAGUCCCUGUCUCUUAUAC
rnacentral:rRNA from 1 species